AGAGUUUGAUCCUGGCUCAGAUUGAACGCUGGCGGCAUGCUUUACACAUGCAAGUCGAACGGCAGCACGGGGGCAACCCUGGUGGCGAGUGGCGAACGGGUGAGUAAUGCAUCGGAACGUAUCUUUAAGUGGGGGAUAACGCAGCGAAAGCUGUGCUAAUACCGCAUAAUCUCUGAGGAGAAGAGCAGGGGAUCGCAAGACCUUGCGCUUUUGGAGCGGCCGAUGUCUGAUUAGCUAGUUGGUGAGGUAAAGGCUCACCAAGGCUCCGAUCAGUAGCUGGUCUGAGAGGACGACCAGCCACACUGGGACUGAGACACGGCCCAGACUCCUACGGGAGGCAGCAGUGGGGAAUUUUGGACAAUGGGGGCAACCCUGAUCCAGCCAUGCCGCGUGAGUGAAGAAGGCCUUCGGGUUGUAAAGCUCUUUCAGCCGGAAAGAAAUCGUGCAGAUUAAUACUCUGUAUGGAUGACGGUACCGGAAGAAGAAGCACCGGCUAACUNNNNNCCAGCAGCCGCGGUAAUUC
rnacentral:rRNA from 1 species